UACAGAGGUCCCAAGCGUUGUUCGGAUUCACUGGGCGUAAAGGGUGCGUAGGUGGUGAGGUAAGUCGGAUGUGAAAGCUCGGAGCUCAACUCCGAAAUGGCAUUGGAAACUACCUUGCUCGAGGGUUGGAGGGGGGACUGGAAUGCUUGGUGUAGCAGUGAAAUGCGUAGAUAUCAAGCGGAACACCGGUGGCGAAGGCGAGUCCCUGGACAACUCCUGACACUGAGGCACGAAAGCUAGGGGAGCAAACAGG
rnacentral:rRNA from 1 species